rnacentral:rRNA from 1 species
AUUGAACGCUGGCGGCAUGCUUUACACAUGCAAGUCGAACGGUAACAGGCCGCAAGGUGCUGACGAGUGGCGAACGGGUGAGUAAUGCAUCGGAACGUGCCCAGUCGUGGGGGAUAACGCAGCGAAAGCUGCGCUAAUACCCCAUACGAUCUAUGGAUGAAAGCGGGGGACCGUAAGGCCUCGCGCGAUUGGAGCGGCCGAUGUCAGAUUAGGUAGUUGGUGGGGUAAAGGCUCACCAAGCCAACGAUCUGUAGCUGGUCUGAGAGGACGACCAGCCAGACUGGGACUGAGACACGGCCCAGACUCCUACGGGAGGCAGCAGUGGGGAAUUUUGGACAAUGGGCGCAAGCCUGAUCCAGCAAUGCCGCGUGCAGGAAGAAGGCCUUCGGGUUGUAAACUGCUUUUGUACGGAACGAAACGGCUCUGGUUAAUACCUGGGGCUAAUGACGGUACCGUAAGAAUAAGCACCGGCUAACUACGUGCCAGCCGCCGCCGUAAAAC